AUGUUCAUAUUUAUCGGAGGAAUUACUGGAGUGCAUCUUCGAAUAUCUCAUCGGCGACAACUGCACUUUCAAGGAUCUCUCCGUCAUUCCAAACAGUUUCUCUCCAUCACCAACGGUGUCCAUUUCUCCGUCACAAUCAGCGCCUCUCUCGCCUCUUCCACCGCUUCCCUAACCUCACUCUCCUCUCCAAAAGGAAAGAAGAAGUCGACGCUCUUCUAA